GAAAUGCGAUAACUAGUGUGAACUGCAGAAUUCCGUGAAUCAUCGAGUCUUUGAACGCACAUUGCGCCCCCUGGUAUUCCGGGGGGCAUGCCUGUCCGAGCGUCAUUGCUGCCCAUCAAGCACGGCUUGUGUGUUGGGUCGUCGUCCCCUCUCCGGGGGGGACGGGCCCCAAAGGCAGCGGCGGCACCGCGUCCGAUCCUCGAGCGUAUGGGGCUUUGUCACCCGCUCUGUAGGCCCGGCCGGCGCUUGCCGAACGCAAAUCAAUCUUUUUCCAGGUUGACCUCGGAUCAGGUAGGGAUACCCGCUGAACUUAAGC
rnacentral:misc_RNA from 1 species